AUCAUAAAUCGCCAUAUUGGAUUCGCCAUUUAAAAAAAAUCGCCGAAAUCUGAUGGUGGAUUCGUAAUCAGCGACCUAAAAAACUUUUGUAUACUGAUUUUCGCAGCUUCAUAAUUCUUCCUUCUUUCUGGCAUACAUUUUUUGUAAAAAACACUUUUUUUCACUUUAUUUAUUUAUAUAACAAAAUUAACUAAUGAUAAAGGAAAAUUAUAUCUUACUAAAUAUUACUAAGACUGUUACUAAAGUAAAAUUACAAAAAAAAGUAAUAAAAUACAAUAUUUGGUGUCCGAAAAAUUAAAGAAAUGACUUCAAGAUAGGUGGUCGAUAUAUCGAUCACCGUGCCGCAAAGGGUUAAUGCAUGGGAUGGAUAAGGAACGUACCGGAAUCGACGCUGGAAGUCCACCUUAGUAAUAUUACCAGGGAUUUCCGGAACACGCAGGCGAUCCGGAAAUGCCGACAAAAAGCGACCGAGUGUGAGAGAAAGAUAAUCACUCGACGCUUCCCGAUUGGACGAAGAUAUCAGAAUCAACUGAAAGCGCCAAUCGGAAGGCGCCGGGUGGGGAGUGAAUGCAAGAACGCAACGAUCGUAACCGAGAGCCGAAAAAAGUCUGCCUAGAGCUCUCGACACGGACGGACGUGGUGCGAGAACACGUUCCCGCGUAUUCGAGACUCGAAUAAAACGUGUGAGUCCAACACGGAAGUACGUGAAGUAAAUACGUGCCUAACAAUUCCGUAAGCACUCCGGGGCAGUGAUUUUCCGCGUAGUUCAUGCGUGCGCGUUAAAAACACGCAUCGUAAAUACGAAGGGCGUUGCUAUGCGAGAGGCACGACCCUUGCGUAAGUAAUCAGGCCGCACGUUAAUUAUGCGUCUGCCGAUCGUGCACGCGUGUGUGUGAGCUUGUGAAAUGCUAUAAUAGCAAUAAAGCAGAGUAUUGUGUAUGUGUCGUGUCGUUAAUAUUCCCAACACAACGCAUGGGCGAGUCCAUUCGACAGCGGCCAUCUUAUGAUACCGCGUGGCAACAGCCAACACAGCGACCUGUUGCAUCAUCCUGGGACAUCCCCACAGCAUACCUAGAGGACAUCCUCGAGAGCGGCGAGACGUCCCAAGCUGAUUAUAAAGGAACUUGCGGAAAUACAACCUACGCUUAAGGGCGAGGCCACACCCUGGCGGCGGGGACAAACAACGACCUGGCGACCGUUAUAACAGAAAUUCAGGCUGCUCAAAAGCAUUAUCCGAUGUUAACAGAUAGACACUUUCUAAAUUAUGUUUCCGCCUGGUUUAAAUAUGCCAAAACACGUUAUGAUAGAGAGCAGGCAAAAGUACUUAGAAAGCAGAUAGAAUAAUUAGUCUUGUUUGGAAAUGGAAUUACAAGGUACCUCAUAUAUGGCGUUCAACCGAUCCUGCAAAUGCAUCAAUAGUGCAACAUUAAAAUAAUAGAUUUAUUUUAUAAAUGUUAGAAAAACUUAAAAAUACGUAGUACAUGUUAUAAAUAUAUAAUAAUAUAUUUUAUAUAAUUGCUGUUUUAUAUUUUUUUUAUUUUAUCACAAUAUUGUAUAUGAAAAUAAAUGUAAUUAAUAUGUGAAUUUUUGUUUUUCACUGAUCAUAUUACACACAUGUAACAAAUGUAUAAUCUACAGUGAAUUAUUAAUUGUUGAGCAGAGUGUCUGAAGUCGUAAGUCAUAAGAGAUGACAUUUGCAAAUGCUAUCUCUUAUAACUUACAACUUAGGACACUCUGAUCAACGAUUACAUGACUUAUUGUAGAUUGAGCUUUAUACAUUUGUUACAAAAACGUUGCAAAUUAACCAUGAAGCGGAAAAUAGUUCCUGGAACGUUGUAUAAAGAACGUUGUAUAAACGUUAUUUUUGGAAUAAAAGUUUGUAACGUU
rnacentral:lncRNA from 1 species